rnacentral:misc_RNA from 1 species
GUGUGUGUGUGUGUGUGUGUGUAGCUUUUAUUCAAAUAUUAACAUUUGGAGUUGGUUUUGGUCUGUGCAGCGGAAGUACCAAGGAACCAUAGCAUUAAAUUUACAGAUACAGAAAAGAAGCAAAACCUGAAGCUAAAAAAUCACAAAUUUCCAAUAAGCCAUAUACAAAUGUCCAAGUAUUCUCAAAUUCUUUUGCUGAUCAACUCUUACGAAUUCCAAAAUGCAUAAAACGAAUUCCAAAAUGCAUAAAACAAUAGAUGCAUUCAUGUAUGUGUAUUUGUUGCACAAGCACUUAUGAGAUUAGGAUUCUAAAUUCUCUAACUUCAAAUAUUAGAAAGCAAAAACUAACAUAAUGCAGACACCCCCUCAAAACAUAAGAAUGUGCAAAAUACUAUGCCACAGCAAUAACUAAUGCAAUAACUAAUUCCCAUUUCAACAGACAGUAAGUUUCAAAAUGAGCCUGACAUACCAUAAAAACAGACAUGAGACAAGAUCAAUUCAAGAUAAAACCUAUAGCUCACUAAAGUAAUUAUUCAGUGCAUCUAGUUCAGUUAAAAAUAGGGCACCGCCUCUUGCAAUCAUCUAGGACUCGGAAGCUAAAUUGAAUUCAUAGGUGAACGAGGUACAUUAUUCUCCCAUUCUAUCAUAUGGAUGAACCAUCACAUUUCAUUAAAAACGUAAAAUUUAACAGCAAUUUCUAAGCAUUUCUAUUAUAGGAAGAACAAAACUUAGUCAAAUAGAACUCGCCGAUUAAAAAGCAUCCCCCGGAGCAUUAAUUCCCUCUUCCACAAAACAUCUAGUAAAAUCCCACAAUUUCACUUCAACCUGAUGACAAUUUCUCAAAUCACAAUCCCAGGAUCGCAUACACUACUGAUAAUUCCCAGGCACCCAACAAUUAUCAGAUACAAAAAUCAAUCCAAAUCGAAAUCCCUUCAUUUAUCUUCCAAUAGAAAGUUGAAAUUAUU